GAUGAACGCUGGCGGCGUGCCUAAUACAUGCAAGUCGAGCGAAUGGAUUAAGAGCUUGCUCUUAUGAAGUUAGCGGCGGACGGGUGAGUAACACGUGGGUAACCUGCCCAUAAGACUGGGAUAACUCCGGGAAACCGGGGCUAAUACCGGAUAACAUUUUGAACCGCAUGGUUCGAAAUUGAAAGGCGGCUUCGGCUGUCACUUAUGGAUGGACCCGCGUCGCAUUAGCUAGUUGGUGAGGUAACGGCUCACCCAGGCAACGAUGCGUAGCCGAGAUGAGAGUGUGAUCGGCCACACUGGGAGGGAAACACGGCCCAGACUCCGACGGGAGGCAGCAGUAGGGAAUCUUCCGCGAUGGACGAAAGUCUGACGGAGCAACGCCGCGUGAGUGAUGAAGGCUUUCGGGUCGUAAAACUCUGUUGUUAGGGAAGAACAAGUGCUAGUUGAAUAAGCUGGCACCUUGACGGUACCUAACCAGAAUGCCACGGCUAACUACGUGCCAGCCGCCGCCGUAA
rnacentral:rRNA from 1 species